rnacentral:rRNA from 1 species
UACGGAGGGUGCAAGCGUUAUCCGGAUUCACUGGGUUUAAAGGGUGCGUAGGCGGACAGGUAAGUCAGUGGUGAAAUCUCCGGGCUUAACCCGGAAACUGCCGUUGAUACUAUUUGUCUUGAAUACUGUGGAGGUAAGCGGAAUAUGUCAUGUAGCGGUGAAAUGCUUAGAUAUGACAUAGAACACCAAUUGCGAAGGCAGCUUACUACACAGCGAUUGACGCUGAGGCACGAAAGCGUGGGGAUCAAACAGGAUUAGAUACCCUGGUAGUCCACGCCCUAAACGAUGAUUACUCGACAUACGCGAUACACUGUGUGUGUCUGAGCGAAAGCAUUAAGUAAUCCACCUGGGAAGUACGUUCGCAAGAAUGAA